UUAGACUGGUGUGUGUCCUUUAUGUUAUGAUUUAGGAGCGAUCAUAGCAUAAUGGGGGCUCAUCCGGGAUCCUUUUUGAUCCCUUUAUUUUUUACUUGCAUUGCGAGUUUGAAUGCCUUAUUUCGCACUAAGGCGGUUUUGGCAUCUGUUCAUAUUUGGUCGCCGCGACGUUGUUGUUACUUUCAGGUAGCUUUGUUCUUUGGCAUGCUUCCAGUUUCGUGAGUUGGAGCUAUCAUCUCUGUUCCCCGCUGCUCCAUCCUUCCGAGGACCGAUGGUCUUCAUGCCCCCAUCAUGUGCAUCUACGUGGGUUUACUGGUUGGCAAACGCAAUAUGAGCUCAGAGAACGGGAAUAUAGGAGGACCUGACUACACCACUAAAGCCACACGGGAGGGAACGAUUCCCAACCUUGAGCGAGACGUGCAGGGUGCAGAGGCAGUAAAGAUCAAGCGGACCGGGAGGUCUCACUGUCUGCUCGAGGCAUUGAGGGUGAGAACGAGAAGUAAAAGUGUGGAGAGAUACAUCAGGAUGUGGCUGAUGAAGC